GCGGUGGUUGCGAAGAUGAAGGGAGCAGCUGCAGACCAGAAGACUGCAGCCAAGGCAUCACUGGUCCACACCUGCCCUGUCCUAUUAUUUACGCAGACCCAAAGACAUUCAAGCAGCACUUUGAGAGCAUGUAUCCAAAGUCUUCAAUGGUCCCAGUACUGAUUGAUGUGCAGGCCUAAGUGACCACACACACUCAAAUGGAACUCCAGCUAGGUCCACCUGUCCGUGCUGCUGCUCCAGUUUCAACUGUUCUGCCUGCGGCAAUGGAACCUUGAUCUGUUCCCCGGACGUGCUACCUGUCCUAGACCUGCUGUUUUCAACUCUCUAGAGACAGCAGGAGCAGUAGAGAUACUCUGAAUGAUCGGCUAUGAAAAGCCAACUGACAUUUACUCCUGAGGUGGUGACCUGGUGCACCCUCAACAACCACUGUGAAUGUUAUUAUUUGACCCCGCUGGUCAUCAAUGAACAUUUGAACAUCUUGACCAUGUUCUGUUCUAAUCUCCACCCGGCACAGCCAGAAGAGGACUGGCCACCCCUCAGAGACUGGAUCCUCUCUAGGUUUCUUCCUAGGUUCUGGCCAUUCUAGGGAGUUUUUCCUAGCCACUGUGCUUCUACACCUGCAUUGCUUGCUGUUUGGGGUUUUAGGCUGUGCUUGUGUACAGCACUCUGUGACAUCAGCUGAUGUCAGAAGGGCUUUAUAAAUACAUUUGAUUGAUUGAUUGACAUAGUGUCAACAAAAUUCUGUCUUCAAUGCUUAAGGCCAGGCACCACACCCUCAUAGGGUACUUUUUCCCCCUUAAUCAUAUCACAAUCAACUUUUACCAGUUAAUGUAGACACACAUUUAUGAAUAUUUUAUAUUAAAUAUUUCUGAAAUAUGUUAUUAAAAUAUGCAAAUGAGGUUCUCAUUAAAUAUGCAAAUAUUUUCAUAUCGCGCAAAUCCAUUUUUCAGGACACUGGAUGAAGUCAGACUAAAUAUUUUGAUUUCAUUUUGUUAAGA